GACGAACGCUGGCGGCGUGCCUAAUACAUGCAAGUCGAACGCACAGUUUAUACCGUAGCUUGCUACACCAUAGACUGUGAGUUGCGAACGGGUGAGUAACGCGUAGGUAACCUGCCUGGUAGCGGGGGAUAACUAUUGGUAACGAUAGCUAAUACCGCAUAAUAUUAAUUAUUGCAUGAUAAUUAAUUGAAAGGUGCAAUUGCACCACUACCAGAUGGCCCUGCGUUGUAUUAGCUAGUAGGUGAGGUAACGGCUCACCUAGGCGACGAUACAUAGCCGACCGGAGAGGAUGAUCGGCCACACUGAGACGGAGACACGGCCCAGACUCCUACGGGAGGCAGCAGUAGGGAAUCGUCGGGAAUGGACGAAAGUCUGACCGAGCAACGCCGCGGGAGGGAAGAAGGUUGUCGGAUCGUAAAGCUCGGUUGUAAGAGAAGAACGGGUGUGAGAGUGGAAAGUUCACACUGUGACGGUAUCUGACCAGAAAGCGACGGCUAACUACGUG
rnacentral:rRNA from 1 species